CGUAGGUGGCAAGCGUUGUCCGGAUUUAUGGGUUUAAAGGGUGCGUAGGUGGUUUGAUAAGUCAGUGGUGAAAGCCGGUUGCUCAACAAUCGAGUUGCCAUUGAUACUGUCGGACUUGAGAGAAGUGGAGGUUCAUGGAAUGGAUGGUGUAGCGGUGAAAUGCAUAGAUAUCAUCCAGAACGUCGAUUGCGAAGGCAGUGGGCUGUACUUUUUCUGACACUGAGGCACGAAAGCGUGGGGAUCAAACAGGAUUAGAUACCCUGGUAGUCCACGCUGUAAACGAUGCGAACUAGCUUUCGGGUUUAGGAUUCGGGGGCUAAGGGAAACCGAUAAGUUCGCCACCUGGGGAGUACGCCGGCAACGGUG
rnacentral:rRNA from 1 species